rnacentral:rRNA from 1 species
CGGGACACGCAAGUGUGAAACUCAAAGGAAUUGACGGGACCGCACAAGUAGCGGAGCAUGUGGUUUAAUUCGAAGCAACGCGAAGAACCUUACCUAGGCUUGACAUCCUUCUGACCGAGGAUUAAUCUCCUCUUUCCCUCCGGGGACAGAAGUGACAGGUGGUGCAUGGUUGUCGUCAGCUCGUGUCGUGAGAUGUUGGGUUAAGUCCCGCAACGAGCGCAACCCUUGUCUUUAGUUGCCAUCAUUAAGUUGGGCACUCUAGAGAGACUGCCAGGGAUAACCUGGAGGAAGGUGGGGAUGACGUCAAAUCAUCAUGCCCCUUAUGCCUAGGGCUACACACGUGCUACAAUGGGUGGUACAGAGGGCAGCCAAACCGUGAGGUGGAGCAAAUCCCUUAAAGCCAUUCUCAGUUCGGAUUGUAGGCUGAAACUCGCCUACAUGAAGCUGGAGUUACUAGUAAUCGCAGAUCAGAAUGCUGCGGUGAAUGCGUUCCCGGGUCUUGUACACACCACCCGUCGACGCGGCCG